rnacentral:rRNA from 1 species
AUUGAACGCUGGCGGCAGGCCUAACACAUGCAAGUCGAGCGGAGCGGCGGACGGGUGAGUAAUGUAUGGGGAUCUGCCCAGUAGCGGGGGAUAACUACUCGAAAGAGUGGCUAAUACCGCAUACUAGUGGAGCGGACGGUCUCGGAUUAGCUAGUUGGUGGGGUAAAGGCUCACCAAGGCAACGAUCCGUAGCGGGUUUGGGAGGACGACCAGCCACACUGGGACUGCGACACGGCCCAGACUCCUACGGGCGGCAGCAGUGGGGAAUUUUGGACAAUGGGGGAAACCCUUAUCCAGCCAUCCCGCGUGUAUGAUGAAGGCCUUCGGGUUGUAAAGUACUUUUGGCAGAGAAGCGGUAUCUGCAGAAUAAGCACCGGCUAACUACGUGCCAGCAGCCGCGGUAAUAC